CACCGCCGCGGUAAUACGAAGGGUGCAAGCGUUACUCGGAAUUACUGGGCGUAAAGCGUGCGUAGGUGGUGGUUUAAGUCCGUUGUGAAAGCCCUGGGCUCAACCUGGGAAUUGCAGUGGAUACUGGGUCACUAGAGUGUGGUAGAGGAUAGUGGAAUUUCCGGUGUAGCAGUGAAAUGCGUAGAGAUCGGAAGGAACAUCUGUGGCGAAGGCGACUAUCUGGGCCAACACUGACACUGAGGCACGAAAGCGUGGGGAGCAAACAGGAUUAGAGACCCGCGUAGUCCCUGUCUCUUAUACA
rnacentral:rRNA from 1 species